ensembl:lncRNA
CUUGGAUGUGAGGCAACCAGCUUUCCUACUCUGCUGAUGGGCCUGCAAACCAAGAGCAGGACGUUAUGAAGACAAAAAUGAAGACCGGUCUGAGACGACCUUUCUAAAGAGCUUCAGCUGAGAUUGAAGAAUGAGGAGUUGGUCAGACCAAGUAACUCAAGGAGGAAAGAGCUCUUUGUGCAAAGGUCUGAAUCUGAAAAGAACUCAGGGCAUUUGAGGUCUCCGAAGGACAGGCAGUAGCAAGGACCCGGGGCCAGAGCAGCCCGGAACUACGCCUGAAGGUGCAGCGGGAGGCCCAGGAGCCCUCAGGCCAUGCUAAGGACUCUGUUUAUUAUCCUGAGCUUCAGAGGUCGCAGAAGGGCUAAAGCCAAGAAAUGAUGUUCUCAGAUCUGCAUUUUUCAGAGAUCUCUCUGGGCUCUGUGGAGUUGAAAGCAUGGUGUCACGGCCUUCCUCUGUCUUGCAAAUGAGGUAACUAAGGUUCAGAAAGUGUGGCUUUCCAGCCCCUUUAAACUGUCGAGGACCACCCAGCGACUCAGUGCUAAGACCCUGUAAAAUUCACUGCAAGGCUUCCCCACUUCUCUGCCAUCCGGCGCCUUGUGGUUGUCAUCCUGGGUUUCUCCACCUCCUAUCUUCCUCUGAUUUGAAUUCCAGGUAAUGGCACACAUCUGUACUUACAAUGGAGUAUGUAAUUCUACGUAUAAUUGUGUCAGUAACAGCACACAGUUCGCCUUCUGAAACAUCUAGACAGACUGCUUCCUAUGAGGUCCCAAGAAUUCCAACUAGGAGUCAUCAUACAGGCUUUGAUAUGUAUACAUUAAAGAUGGC